rnacentral:rRNA from 1 species
GACGAACGCUGGCGGCGUGCUUAACACAUGCAAGUCGAACGGAAAGGCCUUUUCGGAGGUACUCGAGUGGCGAACGGGUGAGUAACACGUGGGUGAUCUGCCCUGCACUCUGGGAUAAGCCUGGGAAACUGGGUCUAAUACCGGAUAGGACCGCACUUUAGUGUGUGUGGUGGAAAGUUUUUUCGGUGUAGGAUGAGCCCGCGGCCUAUCAGCUUGUUGGUGGGGUAAUGGCCUACCAAGGCGGCGACGGGUAGCCGGACUGAGAGGUUGGUCGGCCACAUUGGGACUGAGAUAAGGACCAGACGCCGACGGGAGGCAGCAGUGGGGAAGAUUGCACAAUGGGCGCAAGCCUGAUGCAGCGACGCCGCGUGGGGGAUGACGGACUUCGGGUUGUAAACUCCUUUCGCCAGGGACGAAGCGUUUUGUGACGGUACCUGGAGAAGAAGCACCGGCUAACUACGUG